CCUACGGGAGGCAGCAGUGGGGAAUUUUGGACAAUGGGCGAAAGCCUGAUCCAGCAAUGCCGCGUGAGUGAAGAAGGCCUUCGGGUUGUAAAGCUCUUUUGUCAGGGAAGAAACGGCUCAAGCUAAUAUCUUGGGCUAAUGACGGUACCUGAAGAAUAAGCACCGGCUAACUACGUGCCAGCAGCCGCGGUAAUACGUAGGGUGCAAGCGUUAAUCGGAAUUACUGGGCGUAAAGCGUGCGCAGGCGGUUCUGUAAGUCUGUCGUGAAAUCCCCGGGCUUAACCUGGGAAUUGCGAUGGAGACUGCAAGGCUAGAAUCUGGCAGAGGGGGGUAGAAUUCCACGUGUAGCAGUGAAAUGCGUAGAGAUGUGGAGGAACACCGAUGGCGAAGGCAGCCCCCUGGGUCAAGAUUGACGCUCAUGCACGAAAGCGUGGGGAGCAAACAGGAUUAGAUACCCUGGUAGUCCACGCCCUAAACGAUGUCUACUAGUUGUCGGGUCUUAAUUGACUUGGUAACGCAGCUAACGUGUGAAGUAGACCGCCUGGGGAGUACGGUCGCAAGAUUAAAACUCAAAGGAAUUGACGG
rnacentral:rRNA from 1 species